UGGAUUAGGAUGCAACAUCUGUUUGUAUCUGCUGGUAUGGCAAUUUUGCUGCUUGCUAGGAGAUGUUCAUCUCCAGCGUUUAUUGCAGUUUAAAAAGCAGUUCAAUCACCUUGUAAUAGUUAUGGUGUAGUAAGAUUUGGGUUAAAUAUCGGUUUGAUACACGCUGAAUUUUGAGUUAGUCUCCAAAUAGAAGUUGUAGUGUACUUCUUAAGCUUUCUAGAGUGUAUUUAUUUGUGUAUUUUUACUGGGCAGUUUGAGAGCAGCGACCACCUCAAGCUUGCCGUCCAAAAAUUAGUAUCUCUAUUCGGACAUGAUACUACAAAAGAAACAAUGCAUUGAUACUUUCCCCGUUCCUUGUAUGUUUGCUUGCUAUUUACAUAUUUAACCUUCCAAAAUAGGGCCACCAGUCAUGUCAGGAAUGCCAUUGUAUUAUUACCAUACUUGAACUGCUGGCCGACGAUGGUAAUUCAGACAGCCGUAUUAUUUGCAUUGCUAAACUAUCCUGGUAUAUAUUUAGGAUCCUACGCUACUUAUUUAGAUUACAAAUAAAUUUGUCAUGUUAAUGUUUAUGUCGGUAUAUGUGCCAGCUUACACCCAGAUUUGUUUUGCCUUAUGCAGAAACUACUGGAUACUUUACAUCAAGCUUGACCAAGUAUGUCCCUUGUUGCUGUUGUUAUACCUGGCGAUAGAGCUCCAUUGGUUUCUUCAAAGGUGGCAUGCCCUGAUUGAUUUAUUACUCUGUAGAGUGUGUAAAGGUUUUUCUGUUUAUGACUAUUUGGUGCUUUUAUCCAGCAAGGCAGUAAGUUCUUUUGCAGGGACAAAUGGCAGAAAAUAGCAAGUCCACAAGUUGAUCUAAGAUGCUCCGUGGUCGCUUUUGUUGAUAACAUGGUUGACACCUUUUGUUCAUACAAAAGUUCAUGUUGGCUUGGUGAUUGAAGAAUUGGUCUCUGCCAUCAAAUUUUGUAGUAGUCAGUGAUCAAACAAUUGGUCUCUUCGGAUCUUAGCCAUCAAAUUUUGCAACAACUUGUCUUGUAUGUCAAACUUAUGUAUUUCCUUGAUGGUUGUAGCUAUCUUGAGCGAAGAAAACAAAUUAAUCUUUAUAUAUGUUGAAUGAAUGUAUGGAUGAAUGGCAGUUUGUGAUGAAUAUAAGAGUGCAAUUGUGUAUAUGCAUUGUGUACUAAACAUGAAUUAAAUAUUAUGAAUGUGAUUUAAUGUUAAAA
rnacentral:lncRNA from 1 species